rnacentral:rRNA from 1 species
UACGUAGGGGGCAAGCGUUGUCCGGAUUUAUUGGGCGUAAAGAGCGUGUAGGCGGCCAUGUAGGUCCGUUGUGAAAACUCGAGGCUCAACCUCGAGACGCCGAUGGAAACCAUGUGGCUAGAGUCCGGAAGAGGAGAGUGGAAUUCCUGGUGUAGCGGUGAAAUGCGUAGAUAUCGGGAGGAACACCUGAGGCGAAGGCGGGCUACUGGGCCGAUACUGACGCUGAGGAGCGAAAGCGUGGGGAGCGAACAGG